rnacentral:rRNA from 1 species
UACAGAGGGUGCGAGCGUUGUCCGGAAUCACUGGGCGUAAAGGGCGCGUAGGUGGCGCGACAAGUCAGUGGUGAAAGCUCGACGCUUAACGUCGAGUCGGCCACUGAUACUGUUGGGCUUGAGCACUGUAGAGGCAGAUGGAAUUCCGGGUGUAGCGGUGGAAUGCGUAGAGAUCCGGAAGAACACCGGUGGCGAAGGCGGUCUGCUGGGCAGUAGCUGACACUGAGGCGCGACAGCGUGGGGAGCAAACAGG